CAGAAAAGGGGGAGGGGGAAGAAGGGGAAAAGGGAAGAGGGAGAAGAGGGAAAGAGGGUGAUGAGGCAGAGACGGGGAAGAAGGGGAAGAGGGAGAAAAGGGGGAGAGGGGCAAGAAGGAGAAGAGGGGAAGGGAGUAGAGGGGGAAGAAGGGGGAGUGAGGUCCGGAUGAGGCCGGGCGGGCUAGGUGAGGUCGGCGUCGAUCCCUCCCUCCUCGCUCCAGCUCCUCCCCCUUCCCCACCCUCCCAGCCCCCAGCCCCUCCUCUCCCCUCCUGUCCCUCCCCCCGUCCCUGCUGUCCCUGCUGUCCCUGCUGUCCCUCCUCCCGGCGGCGGCGGGGGCGGCUGGGCCCGGCCCGGACCCAGAUCCCUCUUGUCCGGGCGCCAGCCCCGUGGGAAAGGACCUGUGGAGGAGGAGGAGGAGGAGGGAAAAGAGGAAAAAAAGGAAGAGGAGGCGCCCGGCAGGAGGCUCAACCUUCGGAAGUGCUCUGGAUCCGGAUGCCAGGGGCUGCAGGACGGACCAUCGACGAGAUGAUGCCAGAGGGGACGCCCGGCACCCCUGAACCGCGACACUGACCACUGUGGUUGGGAUGUGGGAAGGCAGAAAC
rnacentral:lncRNA from 1 species